CCUACGGGAGGCAGCAGUGAGGAAUAUUGGUCAAUGGGCGAGAGCCUGAACCAGCCAAGUCGCGUGAGGGAAGACGGUCCUAUGGAUUGUAAACCUCUUUUGUCGGGGAGCAAAAAGGCCUCGUGAGGCCAUAAGUGAGAGUACCCGAAGAAAAAGCAUCGGCUAACUCCGUGCCAGCAGACGCGGUAAUACGGAGGAUGCGAGCGUUAUCCGGAUUUAUUGGGUUUAAAGGGUGCGUAGGCGGAGUGGAAAGUCAGCGGGAAAAUCGAGAGGCUCAACCUCCUUCCGCCGUUGAAACUGUCGGUCUUGAGUGGGCGAGAGGUAUGCGGAAUGCGUGGUGUAGCGGUGAAAUGCAUAGAUAUCACGCAGAACUCCGAUUGCGAAGGCAGCAUACCGGCGCCCGACUGACGCUGAGGCACGAAAGCGUGGGUAUCGAACAGGAUUAGAUACCCUUGUAGUC
rnacentral:rRNA from 1 species